rnacentral:lncRNA from 1 species
UCUUAGAUGCAUGUGCUUUUCAUCUCUGUUUUAGAGAACCAGAGUCGUUUGUUUCACUUGGAACGGAUAAUAUAGGCAGUAUUCUCGAGUAGGAAUUGCUAUCUUCUUAGGUUUCGUGGUGGCAAUUAUGUUUGUGGCAAUUUUGGAUAUCUAUAUGAAGAUUGGAGCUGCUUUAGGUUUACUACUAGUCAGUUGCGUUUAGGAUGUUCGUAAUGCAAAUACGUUAGAGUGAACCGUAGUAUUGCGUGGUAUUAGGAAGCGCUGCCGCGAUAACUCCCCUGCUCACUGGGCACCGCGUGCGCGCCCCCCACCCCCGGCGGUGUUAUUUCGCGACCCUGAGGAUUUCUUAACGAGGGGUGUGUGAGAAAGAGACAAGAUGGCAGAGGGGCUGCCUCCUCCCCACAGACAGAUCUACAUAUAAUAAUAAUGACGACGACGAUCAUCAGAAUAUAUAUCGGAUUUGCUAAUUCUCAUCUAGAUGAGACCUAACAAAGUCACAUAAGGGCAUCUCCAACGCGUGGUCGCUUAAAAUCCUGCACAUAUCAACAUGCACAGGCGUGAGACGCUAGGAACGAAGGAAUAACUACCAACACGGCCGGGAUUUAAUCAAUAGCGCCCGGGCCUAAGCGCCCCCAUUGUACGUGCCCUAAAGAAAGACACUCUACUCCACACAGGCUACACCGCAUCCUUCAAAGCUGGGUUUGCUAAUUCUCCUCUAGAUGAGAAUUAACCAAGUCACAUCUAACUCCUACACCAUAUAAUCAACCAAGCAAAAAAUAAAUAAAUCCCACGAAUCUCGGUGUAAAAUCAAAUUGUAUAGAAGUUAGAUGUGACUUUGUUAGGUCUCAUCUAGAUGAGAGCUGGCCACCUCCAAUAUAUAUACGUGCCUGGCUUGGUUCGUUCUGUAGAAGUCCCAGGGAUUCAGUUUAUAUAGCUUAGUUUUCUGGAGUUGGCUACUUAGCUGCUCUGCAUGUCUGUUCAUGCUUUAUAAUAAGAAUUGGUCUAC